rnacentral:lncRNA from 1 species
AAAAAUAAGCUAUAAGCUAACUGAUAGCUGAUAAGCUAGCUGAUAGCUGAAAAGCUAGCUUAUAGCUGAUAGCUGAAAAACUAGCUUAUUGAAAUUAAAGUGUUUGGUAAAAUUAGCUUUUAAAGUGGUUAUUAAAUAUAAAAUUACAUAAUUGAUAGUGGGUAGUUUAUUUUUUAGAGUGGGUAGUUAUUAAAUUAAAGGGUAAAAAAUGGAAUAAAGUGUAAAAAGCUAUAAGCUAUAAGCUCAUAUGCUACUUGAAAUAGCAUCUGAAAAAAAGCUAUAAGCUAGUACAAAAAGCUUGUUACCAAACACCUAU